GACGAACGCUGGCGGCGUGCUUAAGACAUGCAAGUCGUACGAGAAAGUCUCUUCGGAGAUGAGUAAAGUGGCGCACGGGUGAGUAACGCGUGGGUAAUCUGCCCUUAGGUUUGGGAUAACCCCGGGAAACCGGAGCUAAUACCGAAUGAGACCACGACGACCUCGGUCGAUGUGGGAAAAGGUGGCCUCUUCUUGAAAGCUAUCGCCAAAGGAUGUGCACGCGUUUGAUUAGCUAGUUGGUGAGGUAAUGGCUCACCAAGGCGACGAUCAAUAGCUGGUCUGAGAGGAUGAUCGGCCACACUGGAACUGAGAUACGGUCCAGACUCCUACGGGAGGCAGCAGUCAGGAAUAUUGGGCAAUGGGCGAAAGCCUGACCCAGCAACGCCGCGUGAAGGAUGAAGGCCCUCGGGUCGUAAACUUCUGUCGAGAGGGAAGAAUGCGUACGGGUGAACAAUCCGUGCGUUUGACGGUACCUCCAAAGGAAGCACCGGCUAACUCCGUGCCAGCAGCCGCCGUAAUAC
rnacentral:rRNA from 1 species